rnacentral:rRNA from 1 species
GACGAACGCUGGCGGCGUGCCUAAUACAUGCAAGUCGAACGCAGUGGGGACGGGUGCGUAACACGUGGGUAACCUCCCAUCAGAGGGGAUAACCCUUGGAAACAUGUGCUAACGCGAAACGGAUGGAUGGACCCGCGGUGCAUUAGCUAGUCGGAGGGGUAACGGCUCACCAAGGCCACGAUGCAUAGCCGGUCGGAGAGGGUGAUCGGCCACACUGGGACUGAGACACGGCCCAGACUCCUACGGGAGGCAGCAGUAGGGAAUCUUCGGCAAUGGGCGAAAGUCUGACCGAGCAACGCCGCGUGAGUGAAGAAGGUUUUCGGAUCGUAAAACUCUGUUGUUAGAGAAGCGGUAUCUAACCAGAAAGCCACGGCUAACUACGUGCCAGCAGCCGCGGUAAUUC